rnacentral:rRNA from 1 species
GAUGAACGCUAGCGGGAGGCCUAACACAUGCAAGCCGAGCGGUAGAGUUCCUUCGGGAACUUGAGAGCGGCGUACGGGUGCGUAACACGUGUGCAACCUACCUUUAUCUGGGGGAUAGCCUUUCGAAAGGAAGAUUAAUACCCCAUAAUAUAAUGAUUGGCAUCAAUUAUUAUUGAAAACUCCGGUGGAUAGAGAUGGGCACGCGCAAGAUUAGAUAGUUGGUGAGGUAACGGCUCACCAAGUCAAUGAUCUUUAGGGGUCCUGAGAGGGAGAUCCCCCACACUGGUACUGAGACACGGACCAGACUCCUACGGGAGGCAGCAGUGAGGAAUAUUGGACAAUGGGUGAAAGCCUGAUCCAGCCAUCCCGCGUGAAGGAUGACGGUCCUAUGGAUUGUAAACUUCUUUUGUACAGGGAUAAACCUACUCUCGUGAGGGUAGCUGAAGGUACUGUGCGAAUAAGCACCGGCUAACUCCGUG